CAUUAGUGUAUAUUAAAGUUGUUGCGGUUAAAAGCUCGUAGUUGGAUUUCUGUCGGGGAUGGCCGGUCCGGUCUAAGACUGUGUAUCAGGUCCAGCCUUGGCAUCCUCGUAUUCUUGCGAUCAUUAAUUUGGUUGUGGGUGUGCGACUUUUACUUUGAGGAAAUUAGAGUGUUCACGGCAGGCUUUCGCCCUGAAUAUAUUAGCAUGGAAUAAUAAAACAGGACCUUGGUACUAUUUUGUUGGUUUCUAGAACUAAGGUAAUGAUUAAUAGGGACAAUUGGGGGCAUUCGUAUUGACGUGUCAGAGGUGGAAUUCUUGGAUUACGUUACGACGAACUACUGCGAAAGCAUUUGCCAAGGAUGUUUUCAUUGAUCAAGAACGAAAGUUGGGGGAUCGAAGAUGAUCAGAUACCGU
rnacentral:rRNA from 1 species